GGAGUUUCAAAAUCUUUUGCCCACCCUACUUCUCAAAACUGGGUCUUGGAUCAUGGACAAAACUGACUUUGUAUUUAUAGUAACUUAUUUCUUUUAACCUACUUUUUAUUUUAAUUGGUGAAAGCACACCUAAUGUCAAUGAUUUUUAUUUUAAUUGUUAUGCCACAACCUUUAUUUAUAAGCAUUCCAUAAGUCCUCUGUUUCCCAUGCUAAAAUAAUGCACAGGUUAGUUUUUCUCAAUUAGGUAUAACAUAGACAUCCUCUGAAAGAUUGGAUAUCUAUUGAGAUGUACAUCAGAUUGCCUUACAUCCAUAUCUAUAGGGACCUUUCUUCAUUGAUGUCCCACAUGGGAGGGCCCAACUUAGUUUGAGCAAUUGGUCCCCUGGGAAAUUCAUUGUGAACUAUAUUUUAAAAAGUUAUAUCUAGCUCUUACCAAUAAUACAGCAAGACCUACAAUCCAGUGUCUGCUACCACAUUUCUGCCAUGAGAUUCUGCCAUAAUUUAACUUUAGGUAGGUAUAUCAACUGUAAAGAAUAAUUAAGCCUUUUAAUUCCAAGUUACAUUUUGGUAUCAAAUUUGUUUCCUUACCUAAUUUGCCAAGUGUUUUGUUAUGAAUCAAAAAUGUCUUUCUGAAAUAUUAUCUGUCCUUCUAUUCAGAUAUUGACUUUUGUUUUAUUAUUUUCUGUGCAUGUAGUAUAAAAUAUUGACCUACUUUCAUAUAAUCUUAAAAGAAUGCUUGUGACUUACCCAUAGGCCCAUUGCUUCCUUGUUUAAUUGUGGUACUUUUACAUUGUCUUUGAUUCAAGAUUAAUUUUGUUUUAUAUUAUUUUAUCAGAAUAUUUCUUUAAUUUUAUUUAUUUUGGUGCUUUGGUUCAGAAAUGUCUUUCAACACCUGCCUGUCUUGUACUUCUUAUGGCCAGAGGAUGUUGGAGUAUCCCACACAUUUGUAUGUUGUUGUGUAGGUGUUGGGAAUCAAACUUGUAUAGUCUGGAAGAAAAGCCAAUGUUCUUAAACCUUGACCCAUCUGUUCAAUCACUCCCUCUAUUUUUCUUUUACAUUUUUUCAUUGACUUACAUUUUUAAUCACUUUCCAUCCAAAUCAUUUUACAUUUUACUCUCAUUGCCUCCCCCAAAUCUUCUCCUACUCUACUUAGAGGUUAAGGGGAGGAGUGUUGCUUCCUAUAUACCAAGUCCCCCUUGCACCUCGAGAUACUGCAAGAUUAGGCACAUCCUCUCCCACUGAGGGCAAACAUGGCAGCUCAGUUAGGGGAACAGGAUCCACAGGCAGUCAACAGAGUUGGGUUUAGAACCUGCUAUAUAUGUUGGGUUACCUGCAUGAAGAUCAUGCUACACAUCUGCUAUAUAUACAAUGUGGGCUAGAUACACAGGUGCCUUGUGUGAGACAGACAUAAAUGAAAAGAGUAGCAACUCCUGCCAAUUUGUGGGGAAGGGCCUGUGCCAAGCUGUCCUCAGAGGAACAAUAGGGACAUGUUGCUGGACUUUCAUUCUCCUUCACUAGAAGGAGAUCAAAUUUAGAUUCUAGACUUAGGCUAUAUUUAUAUUUCUGUCCUAGAUUCACAGAUAGGAGCCUAGGAAAACUAUCCUCAGGAAGUUUCCACCCAAUAGCUGAGCAAAACAGAUGCAGAGCUCCACAACCAAACAGUAGAAUGAGCUCAAGUAGUCUUGUAGAAUUGUGGGAAGGAGAGAAUUAAGGAACCUCUGGGGAUAGGAACUUCACAGGAAGACCAACAGAGACAACUGGCCUUUUUUAUAUUUUUAAAACAUAGUGUCUGAAAUUAUCUGAAUUACUGUGUCACUUUGAGAUGGUAGAGACAGAGAUAGAAAUUAUGUAAAUAUAGUACUCAUAUCAGAAACUCUUACAAAAUAUGUGACACAUAUCAAAAAAUCUUCAGGAUUCGGCUAAAACAGAGUUUAGUGUACAUUGUAUAAUAACUUGGCAUUCCUAACUUUUUUGAUCAAUUGGUCUUUUGAAGGGUAUUUAAUAAAUAUAACUUCUUUGCUUCUCUGUAUGCCCUUUGAGUCCUGCAGUAUAUCUCAGAAGUAUAGAAAUGUAUAAUCUAUAAUUCAUAUUUCAGUAAUGAUUACUUUGUUCUAAUUUCAGUAUUUAUUGACUGUAUGUAUUUUUAAAAUGCACUUUCAGUGGCACAGUUCAUCUCUUUGUGUGAACUCAUAGGCAAGUGUUCAAGACUGAGGUGGUGACUUCUAUAAUCUGCAUGAAAUGGAGCAGAAGUCCUUGGUUCAGAUCCCUUUUAUUUUCAUCCACCUAUCUUCAAAACUUUUAACAACUGCCUGCCCACAAACACACAUAUAGCAAAAUACUAUUUGAUCUGGCCUCCGUGAGGUAUCCCCAAGUCACCCUCGAGAUACCUGAGGCCCCAGGGAGUGGGGAGGCAUGGUGGAGGUUGUGGGGUGGAGUAUGGGGAUAUCCUCUUGGAGAAUGGAGGGAGGAGGAAUGGGAUGAAGAACUAUGGAAGGGCAGACUAGGAGGGGGUUAAUGACUGGACUGUAUAAAAAUAAAAGUAAUAAAAUACAAUGCCUCCAAACAAAAACAAAUAAACAAACAAACAUACAACAACAGCAAGAAAAAAGAAACAACAACAACAAAAAAGAAAAAAAAACAAAAAUGGAGCAGAGACUUAAAGAAAGUCCACCCAGUGACCAUCCCAACUUGGGAUCCAUCCCAUGUGUUCAAACCAUAUCCUGGCACUAUAACUGAUGCCAUAUUGUACAUGCAGACAGGAGCCGGCUUGGCUACCUUCUGAGUUGGCUCUACCAUCAACUGACUGAGACAGAUGCAGAUAAUUACAGCCAACAAUUGGAUUGAGGUUGCGGACAAGUAUGGAAGAGUUAGGGCAAGAGUGGAAGGAGCUGGAGGGCAUUGCAACUCCAUAGGAAGAAUAACAGUUUCAACUAACCCAGACCACUAAGAUCUCCCAAAGACUAAGCCAAAAUCCAAGGAGACUGCAUGAGCUUGUUUGUGUUCCCAAGCACAUGUGUACCUUGUAUGGCUGUAGUGGGAGAGGAGGCACUAAAUCCUGUGGAAACAUAAUGCUCCAGGGAAUUAGAAUUCUGGUAGGAGUGGGGGUGCAGGUGAGGGAGUACCCUCUCAAAGGUGGGAGGGGAUGAUGGGAUGAAGAUCUCAGGGAGGGCAGACUUGUAGGGGGACAACUUUUGGAAUGUAAAUAAAAGAAUUUAAUAAAAACAUCAAUCAACAUGAUAUUGUCUUUUUGUGAUCUAAGUAUGUAAUAGAAACUCUAUAUUGAAUUGUGCUAUAUAUUCAAUGACAGACUCUGUACCAAAAUAAAUUGGAGAUAAAAUAAAGAAGAUAAAGCAGUUGACUUCUUAUUCCUAUGUGCUUUUGUACACACUUACCAUUCAUGUGCAUACGAAUAAAUACACACCGAUAUUCCAACAUAUGAUAUGCAAUAAUGUUAACUUUUCUUGUUCAAAGGAAACCUUGUGUGUUUAAGAAUGGUCUGACACUUCCUAUAUACCCCAAACCAGUGGACAAAUGCCAGGACCCCUGUGGUUGACUUGGGGAAAGGCUGGAAGAAGCUUAGGAGGAGAGCAACCCCAGAGGAACACCAUCUGUCUCAAGAAACCAGGACACUUGGGAUCUUUCAAAUACUGAGCCACCAACCAGGCAGCGUAAAGUAGCUGAUAUGAGGCUCCUAAGCACAUAUACAGCAGACGACUGCCAGGGCUGGCCUCAGUGAAAGAAGAUGCACCUAACCCUCGAUUGACUUGAGGUUUAAUGGGGUGGGGGUUGGGAGGUGGGAUACCCUCUUGGAGUCAGGGGAGGAGGAAAGGGGUGAGGAACUGUUAGAGGAUGGACUUGGAGGUUAUAACCCCUGAACUGUAAAACAAAGAUUAAAGAUAAAUUUAAAAAAUUGUCUGCUUAAAAACUUUGAUAAAAAAUGUCUAUUACUGUGAUGUCAAUACUGAAAACUGGUUUUCACAGCAUUGUCUAGAAUUUGAAAUGAGUCUCUUGGACCUGGGAAGUGAGAGACUCUCAGAUUUGAAAUUAAGGGACCUUAGAUGAAAUGCCUUGUAGUGGGCAAAAUGAACUUGUAGAGUUCACCUCUGGUAGAAAGUCAGGGCAUCAAUUUCAGGGAUGUGGUUGCUAAAACCUCUGACCUGGAAUUGUUCCUGUCUAAAAAGAACUGCAGAGACAAAAAUGGAGAAGAGCCUGAGAAAAAGGAGGUCUAGUUAGAAGUCCAAGUUUGGAUUUAGUAAAAGGGGAGGCCCCAAGGCCUGACAAUAUUACUGAUGCUAUGGUGUGUUAACAGAGCCCUAUCUUGACUGCACUGAAAGGCCCAACAAGCAGCUGAAAAAGUCAGAUGAUGGUAUUUUCACCCAAGCAAUGUGCAGAAGACAUUGACCCCAGUGGUUGAAUUAGCAAAGCCUGGAAGAAGCUGACAAGGAGGGAGAUCCUAUCUAAAGACCAGCAGUCUCACCUAACCUGGACCCCUGAGAUCUUUCAGACACUCAACCACCACCCCUGCAGCAUACAACAACUGAUAUGAGGCCCCCAACACAUAUACAACAGAAGACUGCUAGGUCUGGACUUAAACAGAGAAGAUGCCCCUAACCCUGAAGAGACUUAGAAGCCCUGUGUGUAUAGAGGUCUGGUGGAGUGGAGGGGUGUUGACCUACUCUUGGAGGUGGGGCAGGGAGGUGUGGGAAAUGGAACAGUGGACUGGAAGGGGGAUAAAGUCUGGACUGUAAAAUAUUAAAGAAAAAGUUAAAAAAGGCAGUAGUCUCUGGUCUCUAAAUGAAGUUAAUACAUGAAUUAACUGAUUUUUCCACCUUUAUAAUUGAAUGGUUUACAUAUAUGAUCAAUAUAAGUAUCAAAUUAUCACAAAUAAUUCAAAUUUUAACUAAAGCAAUACAGCUUAAUAAGCACACAAGUCAGAAACAAACAUUUUAAAAAUAUGUUCUUAGCAUAAAAUCACUUGCUAAAAAUAUAAUAAAAUUAAGUUAAAAUAUGUUUAUAUAUUUUUUAAAAGGAGCAUAUAUGACUAAUUUUAUGUUAUGUGAAAAGUUGAGGAUGUUUUUGUAAUUUUACAGUUUUCAUGCAGAAACCUUUACAGAAUAUUUAAUAGUUUCCAUAAUCUAGUAUGUUUCCAAUUGACAUUUGAAUUCACUUGUCCUUUAAUGUGCCUUAUUUAAUUUUUGCUGGAAUUGCAUUUCUUUCUUCACAAAAUUUCUGAGCAGUUAUUGUUAUAUCCAAUUCCUGAGUAUUAAUGUACGUAUCACUCUUGUGUUUAUAGUAAAUAUAAGUUCCAUGUUUUUUAGUAUUGCUCUUUUAAAAAGUAAUGUGUACUUCUGAUUCUGAAUCUCAGCAUGCUGCUCUCUGGGUUUUCAAACUCAUCACAGAAGCCAUCCUUCCUCCCAGCAUCAUGCAAAGCUCACAAGAGACACAGAACAUGCUGAUGGUAUUGUAAAACUACCUGUCUAAUUUUCACCUUUGGAUUUUGAUCAUCUGUCUAUAAAACUCAAUUGGACACUUGAAUUUUCUCAGGUAGUAUUGGAUUCCUGAUUUAGGAUUAGAUUUGAUCAUAUUCAUAAGUCCUUUUUUCUAUCCAUAGGAUUAUGCCUUUUACAAAAUUUACAAAAUUAUUUUCUUUGCCUUAAGCACCACAUACUUGACAGUGAUUCAUCAUUUUCUCUCUACUUCUACUCCUUUUUGCUUACUUCAUUCCCUAUAUUACUUACAUAAUCCAUCAUCAUCAUUUCUUUUCUCCAACUUCUCUCAGAUUCACCUCAAAUGCAAAGAAACUUCAUAUACUCUAGAUUAAGUGUGAACACUCUGACUCACUCCCACAUCCUCUAUCCCUUUCUCCACUAUCACAAAUAGAGUAAAACAAAAUAAAUGAAAAUCAAAAUUACAAUCCAAAAACACUAUAAUAAAAAUAUUGAAAUAAAAUAAACAGCAGCAAAACCAAAUCUUCUGAAAUAGACAAUGAAACAAAAACGAUAUCUGCGUUAUGUUUUCCAACUAUUCCUGUUGCUGGGGCCUGAUUUUGAAUGUGUUUGAUAUAAUCAGUGACACUUUCAAUAUAUCAAUAGUCUGAUUUUUUCCUAUCAACAGACAUUAAUUGCAAAUUACUCCUUGGUUAGGGUUUGCACUUUCACUUCUCAUAGCUGGAAUUUUGUAUGGAUUGAAUCUAUGUAGCUUUGCUUCUGCUGUUGUAUUCUCUGGGAAUUCCUAUGUCUAUAAGUCCUGUUGUAUGGAAAAUAUUGUUUCAUUGGAAAAAUUCAACUCCCUGAUACUUAUCUUUCUGCUUUUUCUUCCACAUAGAUCCAAAAGUCUUCAGAAGAGAAGUUUAAUGGAGACCCAUUUAACAACUAGUGCUGCAAAGUUGCUCAAUUUCUCCACUGAGGGCACUUAAGGAAGUCUAACUUACUUCUUAUCCAAGAAGAGACUGCCCUGAUGAGAACUGAGCACUGAACUGAAUGAUGGGUUUAACAGUAUGUUGGAAAUAUGAUCCUCCAGCUGAAGUCACUUCUCCUGCUCUAAGACCCACUGUCCCUGUCACAGUCUUGCAUCAUGUAUCAUUUGCAAGGAAAAUGAUUUACUUCAUGAACCAGUAUCUGAAAAAACAACAACAACAAAAAACAGGGUUGUGCUACUCCUUGCACUCCUUUUGGGGUACACACUGUGAAAAAUUUCUACAUUAGGGAUAGUUCUCUCCUGUCUCCCUGAAAUGCUCAGACAUUUUGAGAUGUGUCAUUUUUAGAAAGUAAUUAAUCAUUACUCAAAGCCUUCUGUGAGAAAACAAGUAUAACAGAACAAUUAUACUUAUUAUUACCCUGGUGCCACAAGCAUGUCACUGGCUCAACUUUCAAACGCUAUUUAUUGUCAAGUUUAAAUUAUCAUCGUACUUUGAUAAAUAAUAAUUCUUUCAGUUUGUCUUCUCUGUCUUUCCAUUCCUAAUUAUGAGAUCAGGUGAGAUAAGAGCCAUUUGGCAAACCAUGUUAUGGUGUCUGAUUGAUAUUAUAUACUCUUAUCAAAGAAAUUUACACAUCAUAUUUCCUUCUCACAUUUUAAUAUUGAAUUCACACUGACUGACCAAUUUCACUUCAUCAAUAUUCACUCUCCACCAGUUGGUUCUCUGUGAUAUGUCACAUAUAUUUAGCAAUUAUAUCACUUUGAGUUGUUCCUUGCAAUAAAAAACAAAAAAACAGUUUCCAACUGCACAUAUCACAUAAUUUCUAGAAGCCUGUUGUAUUUUAGAUUAAUUUGAUUCUUUUUAAGUUUUCCUCAGUUAGGAGCAUCUAAGUGCAAGAAUUUAAUGUCUUACCUGCAGACUAAUUAAUAUAGAUUAGAGAAAAUAUAAGAAAGUACAAACAGCAAUGCAAGUAUUGCAUCUCAUAGAAAUAUCAGGCAAAUAUCUUUAGGACUCUCAGGAUGAUGCACUGAUAACCAAGUCUGGUUCAGUUGAGGAUAUAGGGGUAGAUAUAGAGAUGAAAGUGAGAGAAUGGAGAGAGUGAGGAGAGAGAAUUAGGGGGAGAAUGAUGAUAUUAUUGUGCACAGCAUUUCUUAAAGGCUUCUAUUUCACACUAGCUGUAGAAGAAGAAAAUGUUUAGUGUCAUAAAAACCUGGGACAAAUAUCUUACUGAUGUGCCUAUUGACAUAUCAAAGUGAACAGAAUCUCUCAGUAUUGAAGAUUCUUUUACAAGCUCUCCUCAUCCUCUCUAUCCUCUGGCUAUUCUUUUGUCUCUCACUUUAUGACAUUUUGAUUAAGAAAGCACAAUAUGAAAACAUUUAAAAAUAGUGACGCACAAUAAUUUACAUUCUGAUGAAAAUCCCCCUGCUAUAAUGAUGCUGGUGUAAAAUCUUAAUUGACCAUAGUGCUAUUAUAACUGAAAAGUAGGUUGCACAGCAUUGACCACCAAACCUGGAAGUACUAUGUGGAUGAGGUUAGUACAUGAAAUUAAACUGAUUUGGCAUUCCAAAUAAAAGAGGGAUUUACUUAGCUGAUAAAUAGCCAAAAUAUUGAUUGAAAUUGAUGAUUUUUCUUCUAAUACUCUAUCUCAAGAAAUACAGACCUAGUUUAAAAAAUAACAAUAUCUGAAGAAAAGAUUUUAAAAACAUGUUCUUAGCAUAAUGUACUGUUAUCUAAAUAAAAGGAAACUUAAAGAAUUAAAACUUAAAAAAUUUGAACAUGAACAUUUUAUUAAUAAGAGGCCCAAAGUCAUUAUGUUUGUUGUAUAACAAAGUUUAAGUAUUUAUUUGGACCUUCACUAUAUUUUUACAUAAAGUAUAAGAGAGCAUUUUGUAAUUUAAUGUAUUUUCCUGUCGCUAUUGGCAUGUCUUCUCAUGUGUUCAUUUGCUAGCUAUCUUGAACAACUUGCAAUGCUUCAUUUACAUAAUUUCUAGUAGUUACUGUUUAGCUUAAUUCUGGAAUAUAUUCAUGCAUAUUACUUUUGUGUUUGUAGUUUAAAGUAUACAUGUUAUAUUUCUGCCAAUAUUGUUCUUGUAAUAUGUGUCCAUGUACUUCUGAUGCAGAGUCUUGCAGUGCUGUUCACUGAGUUCUCAAACUCAUCCCUGAAACCAUGCCUCCUCUCAGCUUCUUGAGAAGUUCAGAGUACAGAUGGAGAUCACCACGUUCAGCUGAUGGUACUGUAAAACAACCUUUUUAUUCAACUUUCUCUAUUGAGUUUUGAUUGCUUGUGCAUAAAUUUCAGUAGAAAAUGUAUGAAACAUCUCUGAUGACAAGUGAUUCUCUGAUCUAUGUGUAUAGAAUUAUGUCAUUGGGACUCACUUUAUUUUUUCCAUUUAGCAGAAUAAGAAAAUUAUUGUUUUCAUAAGCCAGUGACCUAUCUACUCUCAGAGUAUUGGACACUUACAAUGUGAGUUAUGGUUUUUAGCUCAUGAAAUUGACCACAAAUAUAUCAAAAUGUAGUUGAUUACUCUGAGAAUAUUUAUGGUGGUAUGACAAAAGUAUAUUUUGAUAACAUAUAUAUUAUAUUUUGUAGGGAUCAUCAUUAGUGAUAUUGAGGAUUUCUUUUUUUGCUGCAGUAGCACAUAAGUAAACUUUUACCCUCAUUAAGUGUAGUCAGCAGCAGUGAAUCUUCUAAUUGAGCACCAGAUGGAGUUCUCCUGUUUGAUGACAUAAAUAGGUAAUAUUUUCAGCAAUUGGACAUUCCUUUCAGAUGGCAAAUAUUUAACCAUACCUUUGGUAAUCCUGUUUGAGGUUUCAGAGGGGGGAAUAUAAGACCACUGUAGCUAAUGACUCAACCAAAUAAUUAAUUCCUGGCACCAGAUAUAUUUAAUAUAUAAUUUCCUAAUUAAAUGGGAUAAAUAGAGAGGACCGAAUCAAAGCUAGAGUGGAAGUAUAAAUGAUAUUUAUCUAGAAUGAACAUCAAUGUGGCCCUUGGGAUACAUUCAUUAAUUGAAUUUUUGUUUUUAAUAUUAUAAUAUGCACAACUAGUUAUUAGCCAGUGAGCAACUUACAUAUAUAUACAUGUACAUAUAUAUUCUAUAUACAUCAUAUAUAUGUAUAUACAUGUAUGUAUGUGUAUGUAUACACACACACACACAUAUAUAUACCUGGACUUUAAAUCUAGAGUACACAUCAUAAAAGCAGCUCUACUGAUAUUAGCAUGCAUUAUGAGGAAGACGGGUGACAGUAAAAUUAAUGAAUUUCACUGGACAAAUUUCUUUACAUGUUUACCAAAUUCCACACCUGUGAUGGUCACUAUUGCUGUCAGCCAGUGGUAAUAUAGAUCUACAUCCAAACAGUAUUGGCUCAAUAUUUAAGCACAAUUGUACUCUUGAAUUCCCAAAAACUGAGAUUACUUGCAUACUUCUUAUAUAAUACCCACCCAUCCAACACACUUAGUAUGUCUAGAGGCAGGAUUCAUGAAGUACUAUACUCACCAGAGUGAGUUAGAAGCAGGGCAUGAAUUCUGUCAGAAAUGAUUCUCUGAAAGUCUGCACAUAUUCCGAAGGUUGUCUGAAUAUCCAAAUACAUGCAGAUGAAUUAAUUGAUCUCAGUAUUUGUUAAAGAUAGGAAAUAAAAUAGUGAUAGUGGUGAUUGGAGAGGAAUUAUAGUGUAGUUUUUUCCAAACACAAAAUAUGCAUAUAUUACCAUUGAAGAAAAUAUCUUAUGAAUGUGAAUUACAGCAGAGAAACAUAACUUAAGGCAGCCUGCAUUCAGACACCUGUGCACCCACACAUAAAAUAUUCCACACUAAAUUGUUGAGAAUAUGUAUAUGUGUAUAUGUCAUUUCUUUUCUAAAAAAAUACUUCUUAAAUUAUUUAUCAUUAUUAUACUGUGAUAUAUCUUUGCUAAUUGAAAAUAUCUGAAGCAGUACUCAAUAUCAACAGCCCUUUUUACAACCCAAGUAGCUUUUCUAGAUCACUAUCAUAGACAUAACUAUAUCAUGUAAUGUUAUAACUCAAGCAUAGUACUUGGGAAAAUUGACAAAGACUGAUCACAAAUAACCAGCAACAUUGUGCAGUAUAUGACCAAGAGUCACAAUCAGAAAAGCACAUAGAAAGAGAAGUUUAUUGUAGUUAGCCAGGAUCUAAGUGAAACAACCAAAUACAUGAUCAUUCCCCCUGCAACACUGGCUACUUAUGUCUAUUAUUAAUUGGAGCCAGAACUCAGGAUAAAUUACAUUUUAUCUUGUCUUCCCCUUUCAAUUUCCCCCUUGAUACUACAAUUCAUAAGGAGGAUAGAGAGAUAUCUAAAUCAGAAGUCAUAAUGGAAAUCACCAAGAUUAUUGCAGGCUUUUGAUUUCUAUCCCUAGAUUUAGAAUCUCUCUAUUGAUGUGUUGUUAAUCUCUUUUCUAUUCAGUAGCACAAGCACUGCCAAACAGAGGCAACCUGAGCUAAUAAAAGUCUGGGAAGAUAGAAUUUUUACCAGUCUGGCUCCAUCUGUUGUCCAGUUUUCAGCUGGUUCCUGGCUAUAAUUAAAGCCUGAUUAUAAGUUUCUUGAGAGAAAGAAGACUACUCUGGAAACCUGAAGGGGACACAGCCAAUGGACCAUUAGCAUAGAGAAGAAUUGCUGAAUCCCCUCACCCUUGCUCUGAGUAACCUAUCCCAGCUUCUUAUAGAGGAAAUAUGAUCCUCCCUUCAGAGCUACUGCUUUUCCUUCAAGAUGUGUCAUUUUUGAGUAUUCAAGUGGCUCAUUAUCUGCAAGUAAAGAUUAUUUUGGGAUUCAGUAUCUGUCAGAGAAAAGUGAUUGGGUGACACACUCUGAAAAUUUCUUUAGCAACCAAAAUCCUUACAUUACACUCUUCAAUGCUCUGAAAUGCUUGAGUUACUUAGAGCUACUGACAUGCCUUUCACCGAAGUCACUUGUGGGCAUGGAAGUAUUAUUACUUGCAAUUUUCCUUGUUAUCAUCCUGCUACCAUGAAGGGUCUCAAAUGUUCAAUUCUUUUAUCUAGGUUCUACAGUUAGGUUUAAAUUAUCAACCCCCAUUAGAAAAAUAUUAGUCCUUAUAUCUUUCCACUCUCUUCCAUGUCUGCUGAUUCCAUUCUAUAAGGGUAGACAAUACAUGGGAGUACUGCAAAAUCAACUGUCUCUCAUUGGUAUUUUGUACCCAUAUUGAAAGGAAUUUACCAAACAGAUUUCCAUAUCAUCUUUUGAUGGUGAAUCUCCACUGACUGACCAAUAUUUUUUUAACCACAUUCAUUUUUUUCCUAAUUACUGAUUUAAUUCCUAUUACUGAUGCCAUAUUGUAUGUGUAGACAGGAGCUGGCUUGGCUAUCUUCUGAGAGUCUCUACCAUCAACUGACUGUGACAAAUGCAGAUAAUUAUAGCCAACAAUUAGAUUGAGGUUGGAGACCAGUAUGGAAGAGUUAUGGGGUGAGCAGAAGGAGCUGAAGGGAAUUGCAACUCCAUAAGAAGAAUAACACUUUCAACUAACCCAGACCACUAAGAUUUCCCAAAGACUAAGCCAAAAACCAAGGAGACUACAUGAGCUGGUACAACCAGGCACAUGUGUACCUUGUAUGGCUAUAGUGGGAGAAGAUGCAAUUAAUCUUGUGGAGUCUUACUACCCCAGGGAGGAGUAAUGUUGGUGGGGGGGUGGGAGUGCAGGUGGAGAGUACCCUCUCUGAGGUGUGUGGGGGACGAUGGGGUGAAGAUAUCAGGGGGGGAAUUGGAAUGGAGACAAUUUUUGGAAUGUAAAUAAAAACUUUAAUAAAAAACAAUCAAUCAAUGUUAUAUUGUCUAUUUGUUACCUAAGUAUGUAAUAGACACUCUACAUAGAAUUGUGAUAUAUGUUCAAUGACAGACUCUGUAUCAAAAUAAAUUGGAGAGCAAAUAAAGAAGAUGAGCAGUUGACUUCUCAUUCCUACAUGCUUUUGUAUACAUUUAACAUUCAUGAACGUAUGAAUAAAAACACACUUAUAUCUCAA